rnacentral:rRNA from 1 species
UAGGGAAUCUUCCGCAAUGGGCGAAAGCCUGACGGAGCAACGCCGCGUGAGUGAUGAAGGUCUUCGGAUCGUAAAACUCUGUUAUUAGGGAAGAACAUAUGUGUAAGUAACUGUGCACAUCUUGACGGUACCUAAUCAGAAAGCCACGGCUAACUACGUGCCAGCAGCCGCGGUAAUACGUAGGUGGCAAGCGUUAUCCGGAAUUAUUGGGCGUAAAGCGCGCGUAGGCGGUUUUUUAAGUCUGAUGUGAAAGCCCACGGCUCAACCGUGGAGGGUCAUUGGAAACUGGAAAACUUGAGUGCAGAAGAGGAAAGUGGAAUUCCAUGUGUAGCGGUGAAAUGCGCAGAGAUAUGGAGGAACACCAGUGGCGAGGGCGACUUUCUGGUCUGUAACUGACGCUGAUGUGCGAAAGCGUGGGGAUCAAACAGGAUUAGAUACCCUGGUAGUCCACGCCGUAAACGAUGAGUGCUAAGUGUUAGGGGGUUUCCGCCCCUUAGUGCUGCAGCUAACGCAUUAAGCACUCCGCCUGGGGAGUACGACCCCAAGGUUG